UACGUAGGGGGCUAGCGUUGUCCGGAAUCAUUGGGCGUAAAGAGCGUGUAGGCGGCCAGGUAGGUCUGCUGUGAAAACUCGAGGCUUAACCUCGAGAUGUCGGCGGAAACCAUCUGGCUAGAGUCCGGAAGAGGAGAGCGGAAUUCCUGGUGUAGCGGUGAAAUGCGCAGAUAUCAGGAGGAACACCGGUGGCGAAGGCGGGUCUCUGGGCCGUAACUGGACGCUGGAGGAGCGAAAGCGUGGGGAGCAA
rnacentral:rRNA from 1 species